UGGGCGACAUGGGUUUUUAUUUCCGGCCUGUGGGGCGAAGCUGGGAUUUGCUGUCCCUCGUAGCGGCUGCCGGCGCCGACGCCGCCAUCAUGUCAGACACGGACAGCGAUGAAGAUUCCGCUGGAGGCGGCCCAUUUUCUUUAACCGGUUUCCUUUUCGGCAACAUCAAUGGAGCCGGGCAGCUGGAGGGGGAAAGCGUCUUGGAUGAUGAGUGUAAGAAGCACUUGGCAGGCUUGGGGGCUUUGGGUCUGGGCAGCCUGAUCACUGAACUCACAGCAAAUGAAGAAUGGAUUGGGACUGACGGUGCCCUGGUAAAUGAUGAAGGAUGGAUCAGGAGUACAGAAGAUGCUGUGGACUAUUCAGACAUUAAUGAGGUAGCAGAAGAUGAAAGCCGAAGAUACCAGCAAACAAUGGGGACCUUGCAGCCCCUUUGCCAUGCAGAUUAUGAUGAGGAUGACUAUGAUGCUGAUUGUGAAGACAUUGAUUGCAAGUUGAUGCCUCCUCCACCUCCACCCCCAGGGCCAAUGAAGAAGGAUAAGGACCAGGAUGCUAUUACCUGUGUGUCUGAGGAUGGAGAAGGCAUCAUCUUGCCCUCCAUCAUUGCCCCUUCCUCUUUGGCCUCAGAGAAAGUGGACUUCAGUAGUUCCUCUGACUCAGAAUCUGAGAUGGGACCUCAGGAAGCAACACAGGCAGAAUCUGAGGAUGGAAAGCUGACCCUACCAUUGGCUGGGAUUAUGCAGCAUGAUGCCACCAAGCUGUUGCCGAGUGUCACAGAACUUUUCCCAGAAUUUCGUCCUGGGAAGGUGUUACGCUUCCUACGUCUUUUUGGACCAGGGAAGAAUGUCCCAUCUGUUUGGCGGAGUGCUCGGAGAAAGAGGAAGAAGAAGCACCGUGAACUAAUACAGGAAGAGCAGAUCCAGGAGGUGGAGUGCUCAGUAGAAUCAGAAGUCAACCAGAAAUCUUUGUGGAACUACGACUACGCUCCACCACCACCUCCAGAGCAGUGUCUCUCUGAUGAUGAAAUCACAAUGAUGGCUCCUGUGGAGUCCAAGUUUUCCCAGUCAACUGGAGAUACAGAUAAAGUGACAGACACCAAACCAAGAGUGGCUGAGUGGCGUUAUGGUCCUGCUAGACUGUGGUAUGAUAUGCUGGGUGUUCCUGAAGAUGGCAGUGGGUUUGACUAUGGCUUCAAACUGAGAAAGAUGGAACUUGAACCUGUGAUGAAAUGUAGAAUGAUGGAGGACUUCAGGAAACUUGAGGAAAGCAGUGGCACUGAUCUUCUGGCUGAUGAAAACUUCCUGAUGGUGACACAGCUGCAUUGGGAGGAUGAUAUCAUCUGGGAUGGGGAGGAUGUCAAACACAAAGGGACAAAACCACAGCGUGCAAGCUUGGCAGGCUGGCUUCCUUCCAGCAUGACUAGGAAUGCCAUGGCUUACAAUGUUCAACAAGGUUUUGCAGCAACCCUGGAUGAUGACAAACCUUGGUACUCCAUUUUUCCCAUUGACAAUGAGGAGCUAGUGUAUGGACGCUGGGAGGACAAUAUCAUUUGGGAUGCUCAGGCCAUGCCCCGGUUCCUGGAGCCUCCUGUUUUGACACUUGAUCCCAAUGAUGAGAACCUCAUUUUGGAAAUUCCAGAUGAAAAGGAAGAGGCUACUUCUAACUCUCCCUCCAAGGAGAGUAAGAAGGAAUCAUCUCUGAAGAAGAGUCGAAUUCUGUUAGGGAAAACAGGAGUCAUCAAGGAGGAACCACAGCAGAACAUGUCUCAGCCAGAAGUGAAAGAUCCAUGGAAUCUCUCCAAUGAUGAAUAUUACUACCCUAAGCAACAGGGUCUUCGAGGCACCUUUGGAGGAAAUAUUAUCCAGCACUCAAUUCCUGCUGUGGAAUUACGGCAGCCCUUCUUUCCCACCCACAUGGGGCCCAUUAAACUACGGCAGUUCCAUCGCCCACCUCUGAAGAAGUACUCUUUUGGGGCACUAUCUCAGCCAGGUCCCCACUCAGUCCAGCCCUUGCUAAAGCACAUCAAAAAGAAGGCUAAGAUGAGAGAACAAGAGAGGCAAGCUUCAGGUGGUGGAGAGAUGUUUUUCAUGCGCACACCUCAGGACCUCACAGGCAAAGAUGGAGAUCUUAUUCUUGCAGAAUAUAGUGAGGAAAAUGGACCAUUAAUGAUGCAGGUUGGCAUGGCAACCAAGAUUAAAAACUACUAUAAGCGGAAACCCGGAAAAGAUCCCGGAGCCCCAGAUUGUAAAUAUGGAGAAACUGUUUACUGCCAUACAUCUCCUUUUCUAGGCUCACUCCAUCCUGGACAAUUACUUCAGGCAUUUGAGAACAAUCUUUUUCGUGCUCCAAUUUAUCUUCAUAAGAUGCCAGAAACUGACUUCCUUAUCAUUCGCACAAGACAAGGUUACUAUAUUCGAGAAUUAGUGGAUAUUUUUGUGGUUGGACAGCAGUGCCCCUUGUUUGAAGUUCCUGGGCCCAACUCCAAAAGGGCCAAUACACAUAUUCGAGACUUUCUCCAAGUUUUUAUUUACCGCCUGUUCUGGAAGAGUAAAGAUCGGCCACGGCGGAUCCGAAUGGAAGAUAUAAAAAAAGCCUUUCCUUCCCAUUCAGAAAGCAGCAUCCGGAAGAGGCUAAAGCUCUGCGCUGACUUCAAACGCACAGGCAUGGACUCAAACUGGUGGGUGCUGAAGUCUGAUUUUCGUUUACCAACUGAGGAGGAGAUCAGGGCUAUGGUGUCUCCAGAGCAGUGCUGCGCUUAUUAUAGCAUGAUAGCUGCAGAGCAGCGGCUGAAGGAUGCUGGCUAUGGUGAGAAGUCCUUUUUUGCUCCAGAAGAAGAAAAUGAAGAAGAUUUCCAGAUGAAGAUUGAUGAUGAGGUUCGCACUGCUCCUUGGAACACCACAAGGGCCUUCAUUGCUGCCAUGAAGGGCAAGUGUCUCCUGGAGGUGACUGGGGUGGCAGAUCCCACAGGGUGUGGUGAAGGAUUCUCCUAUGUGAAGAUUCCAAACAAACCAACACAGCAGAAGGAUGAUAAGGAGCCUCAGCCAGUGAAGAAGACAGUGACAGGAACAGAUGCAGACCUCCGUCGCCUUUCACUGAAAAAUGCCAAGCAACUUCUACGUAAAUUUGGCGUGCCUGAGGAAGAGAUUAAAAAGUUGUCCCGCUGGGAAGUGAUUGAUGUAGUACGCACAAUGUCAACAGAACAGGCCCGCUCUGGAGAGGGGCCCAUGAGUAAAUUUGCCCGUGGAUCAAGGUUUUCUGUGGCUGAGCAUCAAGAGCGUUACAAAGAGGAAUGUCAGCGCAUCUUUGACCUGCAGAACAAGGUUUUGUCAUCAACUGAAAUCUUAUCAACUGACACAGAUAGCAGCUCAGCUGAAGACAGUGACUUUGAGGAGAUGGGAAAGAACAUCGAGAACAUGUUGCAGAAUAAGAAAACCAGCUCUCAGCUGUCACGUGAGCGGGAGGAGCAGGAGCGGAAGGAACUGCAGCGGAUGCUACUGGCAGCAGGCUCAGCAGCAGCAGGAAACAAUCACAGAGAUGAUGACACAGCUUCUGUGACUAGCCUUAACUCUUCUGCCACUGGCCGUUGUCUCAAGAUUUAUCGCACGUUUCGCGAUGAAGAGGGGAAGGAAUAUGUUCGCUGUGAGACCGUCCGAAAGCCAGCUGUCAUUGAUGCCUAUGUGCGUAUACGGACCACAAAAGAUGAGGAAUUCAUUCGUAAAUUUGCCCUUUUUGAUGAACAGCAUCGAGAAGAGAUGCGAAAAGAACGGCGGAGGAUUCAAGAGCAACUGAGGCGGCUUAAGCGAAACCAGGAAAAGGAGAAGCUUAAGGGUCCUCCUGAGAAGAAGCCCAAAAAAAUGAAGGAGCGUCCUGACCUAAAACUGAAAUGUGGGGCUUGUGGUGCCAUUGGGCACAUGAGAACAAACAAAUUCUGCCCCCUUUAUUAUCAAACAAAUGCUCCACCUUCCAACCCUGUUGCCAUGACAGAGGAGCAGGAGGAAGAGUUGGAAAAGACAGUCAUUCAUAAUGAUAAUGAAGAACUUAUCAAGGUUGAAGGGACCAAGAUUGUCUUAGGGAAACAGCUAAUUGAGAGUGCAGAUGAGGUUCGCAGAAAAUCUCUGGUUCUCAAGUUCCCUAAGCAGCAACUUCCUCCCAAGAAGAAACGGCGAGUUGGAACCACUGUUCACUGUGACUAUUUGAAUAGACCUCAUAAGUCCAUUCACCGGCGCCGGACAGACCCCAUGGUGACAUUGUCAUCCAUUUUGGAGUCUAUCAUCAAUGACAUGAGAGAUCUUCCAAAUACGUACCCUUUCCACACUCCAGUCAAUGCAAAGGUUGUAAAGGACUACUACAAAAUUAUCACCCGACCAAUGGACUUACAGACGCUCCGUGAAAAUGUGCGUAAACGCCUCUACCCAUCUCGGGAAGAGUUCAGAGAGCAUUUGGAGCUAAUUGUGAAAAAUAGUGCAACCUACAAUGGGCCGAAGCACUCAUUGACCCAGAUCUCUCAAUCCAUGCUGGAUCUCUGUGAUGAAAAACUUAAAGAGAAAGAAGACAAAUUGGCUCGUUUAGAGAAAGCUAUCAACCCCUUGCUGGAUGAUGAUGACCAAGUGGCAUUUUCUUUUAUUCUGGACAACAUUGUCACCCAGAAAAUGAUGGCAGUUCCAGAUUCUUGGCCAUUUCAUCACCCAGUUAAUAAGAAGUUUGUUCCAGAUUAUUACAAAGUGAUUGUCAGUCCAAUGGAUUUAGAGACCAUACGUAAGAAUAUCUCCAAGCACAAGUAUCAGAGUCGGGAGAGCUUUCUAGACGAUGUCAACCUUAUUCUGGCCAACAGUGUUAAAUACAAUGGGCCUGAAAGUCAGUAUACCAAGACUGCUCAGGAGAUUGUGAACGUCUGUUACCAGACAUUGACUGAGUAUGAUGAGCAUUUGACUCAACUUGAGAAGGAUAUUUGCACAGCUAAAGAAGCAGCUUUGGAGGAAGCAGAAUUAGAAAGCUUGGACCCAAUGACCCCAGGGCCUUACACACCUCAGCCUCCUGAUUUGUAUGAUACCAACACAUCCCUCAGUAUGUCUCGAGAUGCCUCUGUAUUUCAAGAUGAGAGCAAUAUGUCUGUCCUGGAUAUUCCCACUGCCACUCCAGAAAAGCAGGUGACACAGAUGCACCAGGGCCGAGGUAGGCUGGGCGAGGAAGACUCUGAUGUAGAUAUUGAAGGGUAUGAUGAUGAGGAGGAGGAUGGGAAACCUAAGACUCCAGCCCCAGAAGGUGAAGAUGCAGAUGGUGAUCUUGCAGAUGAAGAGGAGGGAACUGUGCAACAGCCUCAAGCCAGUGUCCUGUAUGAGGAUUUGCUUAUGUCUGAAGGAGAAGAUGAUGAGGAAGAUGCUGGGAGUGAUGAAGAAGGAGAUAACCCUUUCUCUGCUAUCCAGCUGAGUGAAAGUGGAAGUGACUCUGAUGUGGGAUCUGGUGGGAUAAGACCCAAACAGCCCCGCAUGCUUCAGGAGAACACAAGGAUGGGCAUGGAAAAUGAAGAAAGCAUGAUGUCCUAUGAGGGAGACGGUGGGGAGGCUUCUCAUGGUUUGGAGGAUAGCAACAUCAGGUCCUCAGCAACACAGCUGUCAUGGUGUAGAAGCAAAAAAGGCUGCUGCUGCUGCUCAGGUCAUUGCUCUUUUUCAUACUUCAGCAGCACCUCGUCUCCCGCUUUGAAGGGAUGUAAGAGAGCUUCCAGGUGAGGGGGAGAUGAGCCAGGUCGAGGAUCUCGGGCAAGCUGUCUACUUCUGAUGUCGUCUUCUUCUCGCCCUGGUCACCUACUACAGGGGACAACUGAGGUUACGAAGAAGAAUGAUACAGCAUCUGCUCUGAAGCAUCACAGGAAGCCAGAUUGACAGGAGAAGCAAAACCCAAGAGUACGGUACAGUGUGAUCAAUGCAGUGGAAGCAUAUGAAAGGAAAAGGGAAAGUUGAGAGGAAAAAGUAAUCAAUUUUGCAAGUUAUGGGCCAGUGAUGAGGGUGAAGAAAAGCUUUACAGUUCAAAAGACCUUUGAGCUGAAUUUGAAUGGCUACUGAGGGGUUGGCAGGUAAGGUGGGGUGAGGAUAUUCCAGACAGAUAGUACAUAUCCAAAAGCCAGAGCCUAGAAUCAGCGUCGAAUGUUUGCAGAGCUGCAAGUAGUCCAGCAGAAUUGGAACAUUGGGCCUGUGGGGAGGGAAAAUGAGGGUAGGGGAAGGCAGAGUAGAUUAUGAAACAGAUCCCACAACUGGUUGUAGACCACAGUGAGGAAUUUGGACUUUAUCUUGAUGGACAAUGAAGAAUGUGAAGGAUGUGAUUCGAUUUGGUUUGGUUUUAAAGAGAUUAACUCUGGCUUCACUCUCGUGAACGUGUUAGAGAAGAGGCCAGGCUGGAGGAAAGGGUACCUGUUACAAGGCGAUUGCAUUCGUUCAGGUGAGAAGUGUUGUGGACUUCAACUAGAGCAAUGAUAUUUGGGUUGGAGUAGAUGGCAUAGAUUUGGGAGAUGUUUAGGAGGUAGACUCAACCAUGCUUGGUGACUAAUUGUUAGAGGGCCAAGAAAUAAGGAGGCUUAUAGGACUCAGUCAAUAAAUCUUUAUAGUGUGCCUAUUAUGUGCCAGACACUGUUCUAGACUGUGGAUGUAGCAGUGAAGAACAUGGAAAUAAAUCUCUGUUCUCAUGGAAUUUAUAUCUGAGUGGAAAAGAGACAGUAAACAAGGAAACACAAACUGUGUUAGAAAUAAAAGAAGGUGAGCAACAGUCAGCUCUACCCACCACCAGAGCCUCCCAUCAAGCCUCUUAGAUAGCCUCAACCACCAGAGGACAGCCAGCAGAAGCGAGAAAAACUACAAUCCUGCAGCCUGUGGACCAAAACCCAGAGUUACAGAAAGAUAGACAAGAUGAAAAGGCAGAGGGCUAUAUAUCAGAUGAAGGAACAAGAAAAAACCCCAGAAAAACAACUACAUGAAGUGGAGAUAGGCAACCUUCCAGAAAAAGAAUUCAGAAUAAUGAUAGUGAAGAUGAUCCAGGACCUCGGAAUAAAAAUGGAGGCAAAGAUUGAGAAGAUGCAAGAAAUGAUUAACAAAGACCUAGAAGAAUUAAAGAACAAACAAACAGAGAUGACCAAUACAAUAACUGAAAUGAAAACUACACUAGAAGGAAUCAAUAGCAGAAUAACUGAGGCAGAAGAACGGAUAAGUGACCUGGAAGACAGAAUGGUGGAAUUCACUGCUGCAGAACAGACUAAAGAAAAAAGAAUGAAAAGAGAUGAAGACAGCCUAAGAGACCUCUGGGACAACAUUAAACGCAACAACAUUCGCAUUAUAGGGGUCCCAGCAGGAGAAGAGAGAGAGAAAGGGCCAGAGAAAAUAUUUGAAGAGAUUAUAGUCGAAAACAUCCCUAGCAUGGGAAAAAAAUAGCCACCCAAGUCCAGGAAGCGCAGAGAGUCCCAUACAGGAUAAACCCAAGGAGAAACAUGCCGAGACACAUAGUAAUCAAAAUGGCAAAAAUUUAAAAAAAAAAAUUUAAAAAAAAUGGCAAAAAUUAAAGACAAAGAAAAAUUAUUGAAAGCAGCAAGGGAAAAAUGACAAAUAACAUACAAGGGAACUCCCAUAAGGUUAACAGCUGAUUUCUCAGCAGAAACUACAAGCCAGAAGGGAGUGGCAUGAUAUACUUAAAGUGAUGAAAGGGAAGAACCUACAACCAAGAUUACUCUACCCGGCAAGGAUCUCAUUUAGAUUUGAUGGAGAAAUCAAAAGCUUUACAGACAAGCAAAAGCUAAGAGAAUUCAGCACCACCAAACCAGCUCUACAACAAAUGCUAAAGGAACUUCUCUAAGUGGGAAAUACAAGAGAAGAAAAGGACCUACAAAAACAAACCCAAAACAAUUAAGAAAAUGGUCAUAGGAACAUACAUAUCAAUAAUUACCUUAAACGUGAAUGGAUUAAAUGCUCCAACCAAAAGACACAGGCUUCCUGAAUGGAUACAAAAACAAGACCCAUAUAUAUGCUGUCUACAAGAGACCCACUUUAGACCUAGGGACACAUACAGACUGAAAGUGAGGGGAUAGAAAAAGAUAUUCCAUGCAAAUGGAAAUCAAAAGAAAGCUGGAGUAGCUAUACUCAUAUCAGAUAAAAUAGACUUUAAAGUAAAGAAUGUUACAAGAGACAAAGAAGGACACUACAUAAUGAUCAAGGGAUCAAUCCAAGAAGAAGAUAUAACAAUUAUAAAUAUAUAUGCACCCAACAUAGGAGCACCUCAAUACAUAAGGCAACUGCUAACAGCCAUAAAAGAGGAAAUUGACAGUAACACAAUAAUAGUGGGGGACUUUAACACCUCACUUACACCAAUGGACAGAUCAUCCAAAAUGAAAAUAAAUAAGGAAACAGAAGCUUUAAAUGACACAAUAGACCAGAUAGAUUUAAUUGAUAUUUAUAGGACAUUCCAUCCAAAAACAGCAGAUUACACGUUCUUCUCAAGUGCGCACGGAACAUUCUUCAGGAUAGAUCACAUCUUGGGUCACAAGUCAAGCAUCAGUAAAUUUAAGAAAAUUGAAAUCAUAUCAAGCAUCUUUUCUGACCACAAUGCUAUGAGAUUAGAAGUGAAUUACAGGGAAAAAAACGUAAAAAAGACAAACACAUGGAGGCUAAACAAUACGUUACUAAAUAACCAAGAGAUCACUGAAGAAAUCAAAGAGGAAAUCAAAAAAUACCUAGAGACAAAUGACAAUGAAAACACGACGACCCAAAACCUAUGGGAUGCAGCAAAAGCAGUUCUAAGAGGGAAGUUUAUAGCUAUAUAAGCCUACCUCAAGAAACAAGAAAAAUCUCAAGUAAACAAUCUAACCUUACAGCUAAAGAAACUAGAGAAAGAAGAACAAACAAAACCCAAAGUUAGCAGAAGGAAAGAAAUCAUAAAGAUCAGACCAGAAAUAAAUGAAAUAGAAACAAAGAAAACAAUAGCAAAGAUCAAUAAAACUAAAAGCUGGUUCCUUGAGAAGAUAAACAAAAUUGAUAAGCCAUUAGCCAGACUCAUCAAGAAAAAGAGGGAGAGGACUCAAAUCAAUAAAAUCAGAAAUGAAAAAAAAAAUCAGAAAUGAAAAAGGAGAAGUUACAACAGACACUGCAGAACUACAAAGCAUCCUAGGAGACUACUACAAGCAAGUUUAUGCCAAUAAAAUGGACAACCUGGAAGAAAUGGACAAAUUCUUAGAAAGGUAUAACCUUCCAAGACUGAACCAGGAAGAAACAGAAAAUAUGAACAGACAAAUCACAAGCAAUGAAAUUGAAACUGUGAUUAAAAAUCUUCCAACAAACAAAAGUCCAGGACCAGAUGGCUUCACAGGUGAAUUCUAUCCAACAUUUAGAGAAGAGCUAACACCUAUCCUUCUCAAACUCUUCCAAAAAAUUGCAGAGGAAGGAACACUCCCAAACUCAUUCUAUGAGGCCACCAUCACCCUGAUAACAAAACCAGACAAAGACACUACAAAGAAAGAAAAUUACAGACCGAUAUCACUGAUGAAUAUAGAUGCAAAAAUCCUCAACAAAAUACUAGCAAACAGAAUCCAACAACACAUUAAAAGGAUCAUACACCACGAUCAAGUGGGAUUUAUCCCAGGGAUGCAAGGAUUCUUCAAUAUACGCAAAUCAAUCAAUGUGAUACACCAUAUUAACAAAUUGAAGAAGAAAAACCAUAUGAUCAUCUCAAUAGAUGCAGAAAAAGCUUUUGACAAAAUUCAACACCCAUUUAUGAUCAAAACUCUCCAGAAAGUGGGCAUAGAAGGAACCUACCUCAACAUAAUAAAGGCCAUAUAUGACAAACCCACAGCAAACAUCAUUCUCAAUGGUGAAAAACUGAAAGCAUUUCCUCUAAGAUCAGGAACGAGACAAGGAUGUCCACUCUCACCACUGUUAUUCAACAUAGUUCUGGAAGUCCUAGCCACGGCAAUCACAGAAGAAAAAGAAAUAAAAGGAAUACAAAUUGGAAAAGAAGAAGUAAAACUGUCACUGUUUGCGGAUGACAUGAUAUUAUACAUAGAGAAUCCUAAAACUGCCACCAGAAAACUGCUAGAGCUAAUUAAUGAAUAUGGUAAAGUUGCAGGAUACAAAAUUAAUGCACAGAAAUCUCUUGCAUUCCUAUACACUAAUGAUGAAAAAUCUGAAAGAGAAAUUAUGGAAACACUCCCAUUUACCAUUGCAACAAAAAGAAUAAAAUACCUAGGAAUAAACCUACCUAGGGAGACAAAAGACCUGUACGCAGAAAACUAUAAGACACUGAUGAAAGAAAUUAAAGAUGAUACCAACAGAUGGAGAGAUGUACCAUGUUCUUGCAUUGGAAGAAUCAACAUUGUGAAAAUGACUCUACUACCCAAAGCAAUCUACAGAUUCAAUGCAAUCCCUAUCAAAUUACCAAUGGCAUUUUUUACGGAACUAGAACAAAUCAUCUUAAAAUUUGUAUGGAGACACAAAAGACCCCGAAUAGCCAAAGCAGCCUUGAGGGGAAAAAACGGAGCUGGAGGAAUCAGACUCCCUGACUUCAGACUAUACUACAAAGCUACAGUAAUCAAGACAAUAUGGUACUGGCACAAAAACAGAAACAUAGAUCAAUGGAACAAGAUAUGGUCAACUAAUCUAUGACAAAGGAGGCAAAGAUAUACAAUGGAGAAAAGACAGUCUCUUCAAUAAGUGGUGCUGGGAAAACUGGACAGCUACAUGUAAAAAAAUGAAAUUAGAAUACUCCCUAACACCAUACACAAAAGUAAACUCAAAAUGGAUUCGAGACCUAAAUGUAAGACUGGACACUAUAAAACUCUUAGAGGAAAACAUAGGAAGAACACUCUUUGACCUAAAUCACAGCAAGAUCUUUUUUGAUCCACCUCCUAGAGUAAUGGAAAUAAAAACAAAAAUAAACAAAUGGGACCUAAUGAAACUUCAAAGCUUUUGCACAGCAAAGGAAACCAUAAACAAGACGAAAAGACAACCCUCAGAAUGGGAGAAAAUAUUUGCAAACGAAUCAACAGACAAAGGAUUAAUCUCCAAAAUAUAUAAACAGCUCAUUCAGCUCAAUAUUAAAGAAACAAACACCCCAAUCCAAAAAUGGGCAGAAGACCUAAAUAGACAUUUCUCCAAAGAAGACAUACAGACGGCCACGAAGCACAUGAAAAGAUGCUCAACAUCACUAAUUAUUAGAGAAAUGCAAAUCAAAACUACAAUGAGGUAUCACCUCACACCAGUUAGAAUGGGCAUCAUCAGAAAAUCUACAAACAACAAAUGCUGGAGAGGGUGUGGAGAAAAGGGAACCCUCUUGCACUGUUGGUGGGAAUGUAAAUUGAUACAGCCACUAUGGAGAACAAUAUGGAGGUUCCUUAAAAAACUAAAAAUAGAAUUACCAUAUGACCCAGCAAUCCCACUACUGGGCAUAUACCCAGAGAAAACCGUAAUUCAAAAAGACACAUGCACCCAAAUGUUCAUUGCAGCACUAUUUACAAUAGCCAGGUCAUGGAAGCAACCUAAAUGCCCAUCGACAGACGAAUGGAUGAAGAAGUUGUGGUACAUAUAUACAAUGGAAUAUUACUCAGCCAUAAAAAGGAAUGAAAUUGAUUCAUUUGUUGAGACGUGGAUGGAUCUAGAGACUGUCAUACAGAGUGAAGUAAGUCAGAAAGAGAAAAACAAAUAUCGUAUAUUAACGCACAUAUAUGGAACCUAGAAAAAUGGUACAGAUGAGCCAGUUUGCAGGGCAGAAGUUGAGACACAGAUGUAGAGAACGGACAUAUGGACACCAAGGGGGGAAAACUGCGGUGGGGUGAGGAUGGUGUUGUGGUGAAUUGGGCGAUUGGGAUUGAUAUGUAUACACUGAUGUGUAUAAAAUUGAUGCCUAAUAAGAACCUGCAGUAUAAAAAAACAAACAAACAAAACAACUAAUACUAAACUUUCAUUGGGUUAUUUGUAUGGAAAUAUGUUAAUAUAAAUGUUUCAGACGUUACAUGAAAUUUCUAAAAAUCUUAUAUGUUCUGGUAUAAUGUUAUAAGUCAUAAUCCUAGUUAUUACCUUAAAAUGUAUAUCUCAGAAAUAACUAAUUUUCUUGUCAACUGCAUUAUUAUGAACUUUCAUCAAAUUUUUAACUGUGGUCAUUUUUAAGUCUUUUGUCAUUUACAGACAGUUCUGUGUGUACUCUGAUGCUUUUGCAAAUAUGUUCCUAUAAAAGGGUUUCAUCUUUAAGAAAUUCAUGGAAAAGACUCUGACAAGUACAGGUUUCUGGUAACUGACUGUACUGCUGAACUGAAUGAAUAAGCAUUUUCAGAACUCUAAUGAAAAACUGAUGAACUCAUAAAAGUGCUAACAAAAGAUCAAGAUGAAAAAAAAAUUAAUUACAUGGGACUGAGUGAACUGAUGAGGAUGAGUAUAAUUUUUGUGACUUUCUGUCUGAAUUUAAAAAAAAGAAAAAAUCCCACAAGGACUCAGAGGCAAAGAAUAUACAAAUCAAUUUUCACUGCAAAGUAAAGGAGCUGUUACAGUGGAGGAAUACUGGACUGAAUGUCAAUAUUAUGACAUAGUAUGAGUGUGUUUCAUGUUUGGUAAUUGCAAUCAUUGUUGCUUUUGUUUUGGUCAUCCAUGUACAAUGCUUGGUGUCAGUCUAUUUAUCUCUUGUAAAA